rnacentral:rRNA from 1 species
UACGGGGGGGCAAGCGUUGUUCGGAAUUACUGGGCGUAAAGGCUCGUAGGCGGCCAACUAAGUCGGAUGUGAAUCCCCAGGCUUAACCUGGGAACUGCAUCCGAUACUGGAUGGCUUGAAUUCGGGAGAGGAUGCAGAAUUCCAGGUGUAGCGGUGAAAUGCGUAGAUAUCGGAAGGAACAUCAGUGGCGAAAGCGACUUCCUGGACCAAUACUGACGCUCAUGUGCGAAAGCGUGGGAGCAACAGG